UCUGGGACAAGCCCUGGAAACGGGGUCUAAUACCGGAUAACACCCACUCCUGCAUAGGAGAGGGUUAAAAGCUCCGGCGGUGAAGGAUGAGCCCGCGGCCUAUCAGCUUGUUGGUGGGGUAAUGGCCUACCAAGGCGACGACGGGUAGCCGGCCUGAGAGGGCGACCGGCCACACUGGGACUGAGACACGGCCCAGACUCCUACGGGAGGCAGCAGUGGGGAAUAUUGCACAAUGGGCGAAAGCCUGAUGCAGCGACGCCGCGUGAGGGAUGACGGCCUUCGGGUUGUAAACCUCUUUCAGCAGGGAAGAAGCGAAAGUGACGGUACCUGCAGAAGAAGCGCCGGCUAACUACGUGCCAGCAGCCGCGGUAAUACGUAGGGCGCAAGCGUUGUCCGGAAUUAUUGGGCGUAAAGAGCUCGUAGGCGGCUUGUCACGUCGGAUGUGAAAGCCCGGGGCUUAACCCCGGGUCUGCAUUCGAUACGGGCUAGCUAGAGUGUGGUAGGGGAGAUCGGAAUUCCUGGUGUAGCGGUGAAAUGCGCAGAUAUCAGGAGGAACACCGGUGGCGAAGGCGGAUCUCUGGGCCAUUACUGACGCUGAGGAGCGAAAGCGUGGGGAGCGAACAGGAUUAGAUACCCUGGUAGUCCACGCCGUAAACGUUGGGAACUAGGUGUUGGCGACAUUCCACGUCGUCGGUGCCGCAGCUAACGCAUUAAGUUCCCCGCCUGG
rnacentral:rRNA from 1 species